GUGUGCAAUGGUGGGUGAACACAGGAAGUUAAAGGCUGUGGCACUGACAAGUCUAGACUUGAAACCUGACACUGACUAGCUGUGAGACUUAACCUCCCUGAGUCUCUGUUUCUUCAUCAGUAAAAUGGGGACAGUAAUGCUUGCCUCAUAGGGUUAUUGUUAGGAUUAAAUGAGUUAGUACAUGGAAGGGGCCCAGCUCAUUAUAGGAUUGUUAUGAGAGUGGGGGAAAUCAUGGAGGUUGAGGGGCUUAGAAAAGUCAUCUCCUCCCACGUAAAUGGGAAAAGAGUCCCAGUGACCCCUUGUCAUCUACAGGCCCAAGUUAAGAUUAUCUGAGAGCCAUUAGAGGAGGCCUAAGGCAAGUGGCUGCCCCUUUGCUUCAGAAAUCAUGAGCUUGGCAGUGGGUCCUGCCUUUAAUGCUGAUGUCCCGGUCAAGACAGGACUGCACUCUUGGCAAAUCUUCUCCACUCUUUGUGUUGGCGACAUAGUGUUUAGUGAAUUUCUUCCUGUUUUCGAGCCCAGAAAUGAUUGCCUUGGUGGCCUGGGCACGUGUUUUCCUCACAGUAUAACAUGCGAGUGGAGAAUGGUUUGCUCCUUUGCAACCAGUUCCCUCCCAUUCCCCACCAGUAUGCACCCCACCCUUCAACAUUGCUCUAAUUCCUGUGGGUCAACAGGCUGAGCCCAGGGGUGUGGAUUUAUGCCCAUCAGAAGUCUGAUUGAGGGUUAGGAAAAAUCAUUUGGGAUGUGAUGACAAUCACAGGCACAGACCCUAGAGUUGUGGCUGCUGUUUCUUUUCAUAGACUAUUCCCAGGGGGCCUUCAUCAUAAGUAGUUGCCAAUAGCUGCUAAAAAUGUUCAUAUUUGUCCAUGGCUAUGGAAAACUUUAAAGGGGAAAAUACCUAUACUUCAGGUCAUCUACUCUCUUUGUCACUCUAAAUUUCAUUCUAUAUUCUUCCAGAAUUUUGGUGUACAUACACAUAUGUACAUACAUGUAUGGACUGACAUACAUACAUAUAGGAAUCUUCUCCCUCCUUAUAUAUGUAUGAAGAGAGAAUGCAUACACACACACACACACACACACACACGCAUAUAAUGGGAUUACGCUGUAGCUUUUCGUUUUUACUUAAUAUAACAUAGACAUAAUUUCUGAUCAGUAAAUGUCUAUUAGAAGUCCACAAUCUGGAGGCCAAAAGCCAAAUUUAGUGCAUAUGGAUGGAAAUUGUUUGGCAUUGUUUUAAAGACUUAAAUUUAAACUCCUUAAGAAGGGGCAUAGAUCUUCCAAUUCCUGACUGGCCCUGAAGGCAUUUGAAGUUGUCAUCCUGCGUUUUAUAUCAUUGUUUACAAUUAUUCUUAUCCCACCAUAUCAGUAUUUUUCAGUAGGGAAAUUUUGGCCAUUUUGAGCCAGAUAAUUCUCUGUUGUGUGGGAUUAUUUUGUACAUUGCAGGACAUUUAGCAUCCCUGAUGCCCACCAGCUCAAUGCCAGCAGUGUCCUCAGGCCUAUGUGAUAACCAAAUCUGACCCCAUGCAUGUCCACACUGGGGCAUCUGUUCUUGUCUUGGGCUAAUGAUGAAAUUAUCACAGGCUCUCCUCCAUAAAUACGUUUAAGUAUGAUGACCUUAAGUCCUAGGAUACCUGGGACAGUCCUGUGGUUCAGGUGUAUUUAUUAAUACCCCUUAGUCAUUUAAUUAAUAUUAAUUAAUUAAUAGCCGUUAGUGACCCUUGUCACUCUCAGAAGUAUCCCUAUUUGGAUGAUAAACCAGUGGGUCGCCCUGAGUAUAAGGCCCUGCUUCAGAAAUGGUUAGAUUUGUCAGGUUCUGCCCAGGAAAGACUAAAUGUGCCAUUGGUGCUAAGCAUGUCUUCCCAGAGUUAAUCUAUAUGUCAUGUGGUAAAUGCCUUCCACUGAGGAUGCUAUGAUCAGAUCCUACUUCCAACUCCAGAGCUGAACAUCGGGGUAGUCAGUGACACAGGCACAUUUUUUAAAAGGUGGGCAGGAAUUGGCUUAAGGCCAGAGCUAGGCUGAAGAAAGAGGAUGUCUGAUGACCCCUUGGAUUCAAGAAGACCUGUAGCAUAUCAUGUAUGGUCUAGAGAGGCCUGCUUAGGCUCCAUGCUUUACAGAUUAAGAAACUGAGGACCAGAGAAAGGAAGGGAAAUAGAACCUCAGGGUAUGAAAGGCUUAAGAGUCUUCUUGCCCUCCCCAACUUGGAAGCUUUCAUUUCCACUGAGCAUAUUCACAGGUGGAGGGUCAGCCUCCAUCAGAACUGCGAGCCAUGGGUCAUAGAUAGCGCACAAGCCACAGGCAGAGGCAGAACCCAGGGAUCCCCAGUUUUGGAUCACAGCACUUCACUUUGUUCUAUUCUGUAUCUCCUUAGAUUUCCUCCCAAGAUACUUAAACCUCCACUCUUCCAUAUACAUCUAAAAGAUGAAACCGAUUUAGAAGUACCAGAUGUAUCUGAGAGAGGAUUCCUAGAGAAUAUAGGAGCUGCACACUCAACAGUCGUGGGCUGGUUUGAGAAGUGGAUUCCAUUGUAUUUGACCCUGGGUACUUUUUCGUUAUCUCCCUAAUACUUCAUUCACUCUAAGCCUGGAUGAACUUUUAUCAGGAAUGCCUGAGUGGCAGCUGGUUAUCUGGGAUGUGGAAGAGGAUUCACCUUGAACUUUGUAACUUCAGAAGAGUCGGGGUCUCAGCAUGAAAGGUGGCUUGGCUUGACCUGGCUGCAGACCUCGCUUCUGCAUGAUGCUGUUUCCAGAUGGACCUUUAAGUGUUCCGAGCAGGCCCCAUGCAGGAAAUAUGUCCUGCAUUGAAUGUCAAGCUUCUUGCUAUUAUUUAUUCUUACUUUUGGCUUUUUAUGGGAUUGGUGCUCCUUUAAAGAGACCUGUUAGCAUUCCUUGUGAGAUGCUCUGUUUAUUAACAAAUGAUUUGCUCUGUGUUGGCUAUAAUGAAUCACUGGCAUUACAACAAUCUGAAAGACCACAGAGUUCUACAAGUGGUACCUUUUCUUCCAUCAAGUUUCUUGAACAUCCUUUCUGAACCUGCUCAUCUAAUCUCACCUUGGAUUCAAGUUCUCCACUAGGAGUAGUGUAUUGCUCCUGGAUUUUAAAAAUUAAAAUGAUUCUGAACAGACAGGGCAGGAAAUACUUUGGGAAUCAAUGCAAGUUAAUAUACAAUAUUAAUCUAAAUAAUACUAUUAUUUUGGGGGCACUAUGUGCUAGAUCUGUGUUAAGCACUUCCAUGAACUACCUCAUUAAAUCCUCAUAACUCCAUUGUGAUAUUAUUAAUUCCCUCAUUUUACAGAAUGCUAACUUGAGGUUCAGAGAAGUUGAAUAGCUUGCUCAACAGUACACAGCUACUAAAUUAUAAGAUUCAAAUUUAGCUCAGUCUGAUGCAGGGCCUGAUCUUAACUAUAGCAUUAUACCAGCUCAGAGGACUCAGAGGGGAGAAUACUCCAUUACCCACUCUCUCUGAGGCGUAUAAGCUCCCAGUGCCUCUGCUUACCAGGGAUACAGUGUGGGGUCACAUAGAGAGCCCUGGCCCUAAAGUCAGAAGAUCUGAAUUUGAGUGGCAACACCUGCCCUUGCCUUUAUUAACUUUAUUGUGAAGGUUGAAUGCUACAAUGUAAAUGACUAAGGUCUUUACAUACAAUUGUAGGUUGUGAUGGCAUGUAUAAAAGAUGAGUCUUCUGUGUAUAGUUAUACCUGUUUCUACCUGUAUGUAUAUAGCCCAAUUAUAUCCAAUGAUGAUAGGCUUGUAUCAGGUUGCUCACAGUUGGAAAAGCCAUUCUUGGGACUAGGAUUUCAAACUGGAAGGGAACUAAGAAGUCAUCUGUACAUUACAAGUGAGGAAAAUGAGGCUUGGUAAGAGAUUUCUUUGUACUUUUCCCAGGACUAGCAGAAUGACAUUGAGAUUUGGAGACCAAUGACUCAGGAGUAGGCAGGGACUGAAAGAGCCAUAACAUUUACAUGCAAUAUUGAAAAGCCUGGGUCAUCUAGUGGGAUGAACCCAGUCUAGUUGGAAGAAGAGCAGCCUGAAGCCAGAGAGAUGGUUAAGAUUGCUGUGGAGAGUAGGAAGAGAAGGUUCCAAGUGGAUGGACAGUGCUGCCUGUAAGGGAGGGUAUUCUGAAAGCUUCACCACGUGAGACAACCUGAUGCUGUUUCUUCCUCCCAUGUCUUUAGGUCCCAUGUGCAAUAUGCAGUGUUCAUGGCUUCCUACCUGGAGAAAGUUAAGUUUUAUUGUGUUCAAGGAGGUUGAGAGUAUAUAUUUGAUGUCCCAAGAUUGAGGAAGUGGUCCAGCAGGAAGACUGCAUUGAGUUACCAACUUGGGUGAAAAAGAUCAAGGUGAAGAUUUUAUUCCACAAAGUAUAAGGGGCCAGUAGGUCUUUACAGAAAUAGGCUCAGGCCCAAGUAUGGUGGAUUAAGACUGACCUGAGAGAACACGAUAUCAGCACAUCCAUUGAUGGGAAGGAAGGACGUUGACCCAAUAGGCCAUUGGCUUUGUGGAACAACAGUCUUGAAAACCCUUGGAGAAGAUAGGUGCAGCCAACUCUGGAGGACUGCCUGAAAGGGAGCAGAGCCUGUAGAGGAGGCAUGGAGCCUCUGGAUGAAGGGCCGGUGCAACAUUCAGAGUUCAGUAUUGAUCGUGUUUGUGAUUUAAACACUCAGAGACCAAGGAAUUGACCACUUUGAUGUGGAUUGAUGGUUUCCUGAUGCUUUAUGACAGGUGUGGCCCAGGGACCUCUCCCCCAAGCCUGGGAGAAUCAUCCUCUGCUGUUAAACAGCUCAAUCAUUUCUCAUCCCUGGCAUCCUCACUGGUCCAUUGGCUCCUCCCUUCCUCCCCUCUUACCUACAAGUGCUGACCCUUCCUGGGCUGCUGCCAAACAUGACCCUGGAUACUGUGAGUCUCAGGCUGCUGGGCUACCAGGAUCAGAAUCAAGAAGGGAAAAGGAUCAAAAUUUAUAGAGUAUCUUUUAGAGUACUAGCAUGGUCAUUUCAUUACCAACUUUGCAAAAUAGGUAUCAUUGAUCCCAUUUUAUAGACGAAUAAGUUGAGUCUGAUGGAUAACUUGCUAUGUGAGGGACCCAAGCCUGCUAAUUCUACACUUUUGCACACUCUCACUUUAUUGCCUACAGAAGAGCUCAGAAGGAGAGGGAGGGAGAGGGGGACGGGAAGUAGAACUGUCCCUGGGGUAGAAAUAAAUUGGAGUGCUGGACAUGUGCAUUAGGAGCCUACUAGGCUGUAUUGCAGAUGACUCAGUAUGCAAUGGGCAGGAAGGAGGGGUGAAGAGAGGAGUAGGCAGUUUUCUCCAAAGCUGCUUUACAACAACAUCCCUGAGUGUGAACAUAAGUGAGUCUACAUGUCUAUCUCUGCCUCUUCUACACAUACCUUUGCAGGUUGCUGUGUGGAGUUUUUUGGUGCCUUCUUUUCUAAUUUAACUUGAUUUCCUUGAGGAUGGCAGAGCUGGACAUGUUCAGGAAACCUCAGAAAAAGAGCUGUAUGUCACUAAGUCAGGAAGAGGGCCCAGAGGUCAGGGUUUCUCAUCUGGGGCCAUCAAUACCGGCCUCCUUCUAGCUCUGUCAGACACUUGGCCCCUUCUGGGUACUCUGGCAGAGUUUGGUACCAUUCUCUCACACUGAAGAGAGACCCUCAUAGGUAGAGGCAUUGCAAGCUGCAGGCUGUGGCUCACAUUGCAAUGUAGCUGUAUCAGCCAUGAUUUUUAGUUACAGGCAUCAGCCAACUCUGGCUGACUGAAGCCGAAGAGAGUUUGAUGCAAAGAACACUGGGUGGCUGGAGAAUCAGUAGGAAUGCUGACAGUAAGGCUGGAGAAUAAGCAGCCUGGAGCAGCACCGAGAAUCACAUGGUGGAAGGAGUCUGGAGAAACUUCUACUGCUUCAGCCAUUGAAUGUUGGGCACUAUCAUUGGCAUCACAGUCACCUCUGUGCACAAACUUGAACCUGCAGUAGGGAGAGAGAGAACUCCACCCUUCCUGUGUCUAGCUCCAGAGUCAAAACCCAGGGUGGCACAUGGUGGAUGGAUCCUGUGUACAGCCUGUGCCUGGCUGCAAAGGCUGCUGGGAAAGCCAGUUGCUGCAUUUUUGGCAUCUACAGUGGGAAGCAGCCACUGAAGACAAUGAAGACUCAUGAAGUGGGAACUUCUCAAUGAAAAAGGAGUUCAAAUAUUGGGUGGCCAAAUAAAAUGAUAAAUAUUCACUAUCAUUGCCUUAGUUGAGAAUCGAGAAGCUGGGGGCAGUGUGAGGGUACUGAUGGCAACAUUCUCUAACAGGUAUUGAGUGAUUAUUCUCUGGGCUAACUAUUCUAAAUGCAGUAUCUCAUUUAAUCCUUCCGACAAAUCUCCCAGGCAAUUACUAAUAUUGUACCUAUUUUCCAAAGGAGACAACUGGAUUGUAGACAUGACUGUGGCACAUACCUAGUAGGUGUCUGAGCUGAGGUUCUGGCGUAGGCAGUCUGUCUUCUGAGACUGUGCUCACAUUUUCAUGAUUGAGGGCUGGUGAGGAACUCUAGGGGUAUUUCUUUAAGUUAAAGCAUUAAAACCAGCUGUCCCUAGUGCUCAUCAUUCCAAUUAUGCCACAUUAACUCCAGUCUUUUAAAAAUCCCGUCUCAAGGUACUUCUAGGAGUCUCCAAGAUGGCUUGUGUGAACACGUGUCAGACCAGGUUAUUGGAGGCCACCGUGCUGUCACCUUCCUCUGCCAAGUCCAGGCCCACUGUGGGGACCGCUGUCCAGGCUUAGAAACUCCGUGGCUCUGUGAGGUGGAUGCAAUGAGUCUCAUUUGAUGGAUAAGAAAAGUGAUGCUCUGAGAGACAAAUAUGAUUCCUAAAACCACACAGGAGGCUAGUGGCAGAACCACACAGGAGGCUAGCGGCAGAACCACACAGGAGGCUAGCGGCAGAACCACACAGGAGGCCAGCGGCAGAGUCAGGAUGUAAACCUGGAUCUGGCAGAUUCCAGAGUUCCUAAGCCCUUGACUGUAGGCUUAGCAUCAUAUAGGUGUGUAUGUAAAGAGCUGCAAGCUGGUAAACCCCCACAAAAUAAAAAAGAACCAACUAACUCCAUUAUCAGUUAUUUAUAAAUUCAGAAACUAGUUGAAAAGAAAGAGAAAAAAAAUGACAAAUUUUUUAGGAUGCCUACUCUUUCAUAUGCCCUUGAAUGUGUGAUCAAACUCACUAGAGCAAGCCCUCCU
rnacentral:lncRNA from 1 species